CAGAGCAGACACCACGGACGCUUGAAUCGCCACAAAGCCUGUCGCCGUUUCGUUUCAACUGGACGCAGGCAAACUAUUACCGAGCAUUUGUGUUUUUUCCCUCUCUCUGUCUAAAAUGGCGCCCUCUCUCCGAAGUGCAGAGUGGUGAGAAACCUGCAAUUUCAAAGUGUUACGUCCGUGGCCCCCUCCUUUUUGAGAUUCGCAAGAUCACUAUUAAGUCAGUUCAGGAGACCCAGGAAAUGAGAGAAAGACAUGCAGAAUCAACAGAGUUUGGAAUGUCCUGGCCUCCGAAAGGCGGAACCAUUGAUAAUGGCUAUUGCCUCUUGGAGAUGGAAUUGUGUAUUGAAUACUGUACGAUGCAUCAAAGCCCCCAGGCAAUGAACCGGUGGGGGGGGGGGGACGUUGGUGGAGGGAUUGCAUCAUCUCAACCUGAUUGACAUCUGAGACCCUGUGAGAUAGGAUAAAAGAGGGUCUGGGGAACAGUCCCUUCAGACGCACCAGAAGAAAUGCUAGAACUCCUGUAACAGCGUAAUUGCGAAAGCCGGUGGAAAGCCCAUGUGCGUCCUUUUCCAUUUGCCUCAGAAUUGGUGGGCCUUUACCACGGAAGCACGGCUUUAGCUAACCACAAAGGGGAAAUCAGUCCCCAACGACUCUCGAAGGAUUGACAUCAUAAAAGGAAUGGGCAAGUUAAACCUCCGUCUUUCUCUCCAACCAAAAAGCUGCAGCUUGAAUGAACUUGAGUGACUUUUAUAUUUCCAUCGGACAAUACAUUAUCCCCCAGACAACGAUAGAGCUAUUUCUUAUUGAUUAUUAUUAUACCCGCGCUUUUAGAUUUAGUAUUGAUGACGUAUAUUAUCUGUAUGUUUGCAUUGGUAUUAUUUUUGUGUAUUUUUAUCAAUAAAUACUGUUAAAAAUAGUACCAUCAGACUUCAACGGACCUCUCUAUCUUUGCUGGUAACUGACCCAGUUACAAGGUAUGUAACAAAAGAGAGAAAUUCAUCUCUGCAUUAGAAACUAGGAGCUGGAGUGGUCAGUUAGCCCUUUAAAACCCACCCUACUAAUUGAUCCCAUCUUCGUCCAUGCCCAUUCCCCAGUGCUCUCUGUCCUCAAUCUUCCAAAUCCUUUCUUCUUCCUCUUUAAAUGUGCCCAGUGUCUAGUUUCCAUGACCAUCUGGGAUAGAAAAUUUGCCACCAGUUUUAAAUGAAUACCUCCUGUCCCUAUCAAGAUUUUCCCAGCAAAUAUCUAGUCUAGCCCAUUAGGGAUUUUACAUGGUUCAGUAAGAUAACCCCUGAUGCUUCUAAACCUCAAAGAAUAUUGAUCUAAGUUAUAAAUAAAAUAUAGAACUAUUUCUGAUGAGUCUUGAUGAGCCCGAAACUUUGAUUCUUUAUUCCUCUCCAUCGAUGAUGCCUGACCUGCUGAGUUCCUCCAACAUUCCUCCAGUGUGUUGCACUGGAUUUCCAGCAUCUGCAGAAUCUCUUGAUGUUAGAACUGCUUUAUUUGUACUCUUUUGGAAAUGUUAACUUCCCUCGAGCAUCCAUGCCUGCAGCCAUUACAAAUCCAAGCUAACCAUUGCUGGACAAUUGCUUUCUGAUCUCUUUGCUGUGUUGAGGAUGUCUUAUGCUGCAGUCUUCACAUUUGGCAAGGACUUCUCAAUUAAAAUUGAAACAGCUUGAAAAGUAGAAAUCCUGAGGAACUGCUUAAAUCAAAUGAAUAUAUACAUAUUGCCCUUAGAAGUUAGACUGGAAAUAAUUGUAGAUUUGGGCCCCAAAUUUCCUUUGUACAUCAACAACACACACAAAAUGCUGGAGGAAUUCAGUAGGUCAGGCAGCAU